ACAGUGCAAUUGAUCCUUAGUGGGAGCUCAGGAGCUGUUGGUUGAUGAGUGAGUUGAUAAGCUACAAGUGCCCACAGGGAGAAGGGAAACAUCAAGCAGGAUGACCAGGGGGUGCUGCAGAGAGGAAGCAGUGAACUGCCCGCAGCUGGCUGAGCCUGAGCCUGUGAUGGGGCCAAGGGUGUGCUGGCACCGUAUGGGCGGAAGGACCCGGGCUACCUCUAAGUCUACUGAGGCGUUAUUUACCAAGGAAUUCCACUGCUUGAAUUUAGAUUACUACUACCUUGACAAAAUUAUACCAAAACACAUCCCAGCACUUUGGGAGAUGGAGGCGGGAAGAUCACCAGGUCAGGAGAUCGAGACCAUCCCGGCUAACACGGUGAAACCCCGUCUCUACUAAAAAUACAAAAAAUUAGCCGGGAAACACUUGCUACUGUUUUAGACCACUACGUUUGGGGGUGAUUUGUUAUGUAGCAAUAAAUAAUAGAAAUAA